CGUUCUAUGGCCGAAUUGGUGAAGGCAUCGCCGAUCACUAGCGUGGUUGCGGGUUCGAGUCCCGCUGGAACGA
rnacentral:tRNA from 1 species